rnacentral:rRNA from 1 species
AUUGAACGCUGGCGGCAGGCCUAACACAUGCAAGUAGAACGAGUGGCGGACGGGUGAGUAAUGUCUGGGAGACUGACCGAUGGAGGGGGAUAAGUACUGGAAACUGUAGCUAAUACCGCAUACAGCCAGAGUUUCCCAGAUGGGAUUAGCUAGUAGGUGGGGUAACGGCUCACCUAGGCGACGCUACCUAGCUGGUCUGAGAGGAUGACCAGCCACACUGGAACGGAGACACGGUCCAGACUCCUACGGGAGGCAGCAGUGGGGAAUAUUGCACAAUGGGCGCAAGCCUGACGCAGCCACGCCGCGUGUAUGAAGAAGGCCGUCGGGUUGUAAAGUACUUUCAGCGGGGAGGCGUUACUCGCAGAAGAAGCACCGGCUAACUCCGUGCCAGCAGCCGCGGUAAUAC